rnacentral:lncRNA from 1 species
CAAAUGCAUCAGGCUCACCCCAGGAAGGGCAGCUAGGGCUGCCUUGUUCUAGAGACUAUAUGAAGGGCAAGGAAAAAGCCUCCUGAACCCAGGUGGAAGCCUAAAUGCUAAGGGAUGUUCUGGAUCCUCAUCAUCAGAUAAUCCAGAGAGAAGUGAACUGAUGGCCCCUCAAACCAGGAAGUUAAAAUGAAGGGCUCUGUGGAAGUGAAGUGUGAAG